rnacentral:rRNA from 1 species
CCUACGGGUGGCAGCAGUAGGGAAUCUUUCACAAUGGGCGAAAGCCUGAUGGAGCACCGCCGCGUGCAGGAUGAAGGCCUUCGGGUUGUAAACUGCUUUUAUAAGCGAGAAAUAUGAUGGUAACUUAUGAAUAAGGAUCGGCUAACUACGUGCCAGCAGCCGCGGUAAUACGGAGGAUUCAAGCGUUAUCCGGAUUUAUUGGGUUUAAAGGGUGCGUAGGCGGUCGGAUAAGUUAGAGGUGAAAUCCCGAGGCUCAACUUCGGAAUUGCCUCUGAUACUGUUCGGCUAGAGAGUAGUUGCGGUAGGCGGAAUGUAUGGUGUAGCGGUGAAAUGCUUAGAGAUCAUACAGAACACCGAUUGCGAAGGCAGCUUACCAAGCUACUUCUGACGUUGAGGCACGAAAGCGUGGGGAGCGAACAGGAUUAGAUACCCUGGUAGUC